UGUGUAGGCGGUUGUUUAAGUUUGGUGUGAAAUCUCCCGGCUCAACUGGGAGGGUGCGCCGAAUACUGAAUGACUCGAGUGCGGGAGAGGAAAGUGGAAUUCCUGGUGUAGCGGUGAAAUGCGUAGAUAUCAGGAGGAACACCGGUGGUGUAGACGGCUUUCUGGACCGUAACUGACGCUGAUACACGAAAGCGUGGGUAGCAAACAGGAUUAGAUACCCUGGUAGUCCACGCCCUAAACGAUGCAUACUUGGUGUGGGCAGUUCAUUCUGUCCGUGCCGGAGCUAACGCGUUAAGUAUGCCGCCUGGGGAGUACAGUCGCAAGGCUGAA
rnacentral:rRNA from 1 species